rnacentral:rRNA from 1 species
AUUGAACGCUGGCGGCAGGCCUAACACAUGCAAGUCGAGCGGAUGAAGGGAGCUUGCUCCUGGAUUCAGCGGCGGACGGGUGAGUAAUGCCUAGGAAUCUGCCUGGUAGUGGGGGAUAACGUCCGGAAACGGGCGCUAAUACCGCAUACGUCCUGAGGGAGAAAGUGGGGGAUCUUCGGACCUCACGCUAUCAGAUGAGCCUAGGUCGGAUUAGCUAGUUGGUGGGGUAAAGGCCUACCAAGGCGACGAUCCGUAACUGGUCUGAGAGGAUGAUCAGUCACAGUGAACCUGACACACGGCCCAGACUCCGACGGGAGGCAGGGGUGGGGAAUAUUGGAAAAAGGGCGAAAGCCUAUACCGGCCUGGGCGAGGGGGUGAAGAAGGUUUUGGGAUUGAAAAGCAUUUUAAGUUGGGGGGAGGGGCAGAAAGUUAACACCUGUCUGUUUUGAGGUUACCAAAAGAAUAAACACCGGCGAAAUUGGG